rnacentral:rRNA from 1 species
GGGAUAAGUGCUGAAAGCAUCUAAGCAUGAAGCCCCCCUCNAGNNGAGANUNCCCAACUUCGGUUAUAAGAUCCCUCAAAGAUGAUGAGGUUAAUAGGUUCGAGGUGGAAGCAUGGUGACAUGUGGAGCUGACGAAUACUAAUCGAUCGAAGACUUAAUCAAAA